rnacentral:rRNA from 1 species
UACGAAGGGGGCUAGCGUUGUUCGGAAUUACUGGGCGUAAAGGGCGCGUAGGCGGUGUGUCAAGUCAGGCGUGAAAGCCCCGGGCUCAACCUGGGAACCGCGCUUGAGACUGGCACGCUAGAGUUCGGGAGAGGAUGGUGGAAUUCCCAGUGUAGAGGUGAAAUGCGUAGAUAUCUGGAGGAACACCGGUGGCGAAGGCGGCAUCCUGGACCGAUAUUGACGCUGAUGCGCGAAAGCCAGGGGAGCAAACGGG